CCUACGGGAGGCAGCAGUGGGGAAUAUUGGGCAAUGGGCGAAAGCCUGACCCAGCAACGCCGCGUGAAGGAAGAAGGCUUUCGGGUUGUAAACUUCUUUUGACAGGGAAGAGCAGAAGACGGUACCUGUCGAAUAAGCCACGGCUAACUACGUGCCAGCAGCCGCGGUAAUACGGAGGUGGCAAGCGUUGUACGGAUUUACUGGGUGUAAAGGGCGUGUAGCCGGGCUGGAAAGUCAGAUGUGAAAUCCGGGGGCUCAACCCCCGAACUGCAUUUGAAACUGUUGGUCUUGAGUAUCGGAGAGGCAGGCGGAAUUCCCGGUGUAGCGGUGAAAUGCGUAGAUAUUAGGAGGAACACCAGUGGCGAAGGCAGCCUGCUGGACGACAACUGACGGUGAGGCGCGAAAGCGUGGGGAGCAAACAGGAUUAGAUACCCCAGUAGUC
rnacentral:rRNA from 1 species